rnacentral:lncRNA from 1 species
GAAUGAAUGGGGUGGGUGGGAUAGUAUACAUGAGGUAAAUGGGAUUGGUAUGAGUGAUAAAGUUAGCCCACCUGGUGACGGAGAGGCAGGAUGGAUGGGGGGGCCUAUCCCUGGGUUGGUAGAGGGCCAGAAUAUUCCAGUCGUGCUGGGAAGAGGCAGAUAUGGCGGGAGCCAUGGGGCAAGCCAUUCCAGGGGAAGAAGGGAUCGCUGCUUGAAAGCGAUCUCUUGCUCCGGCCCCAUGAGCUCUACCCGGGGUACUGGUGAUGAGUGUAAUCUGGGCCCUGGGCUCAAGCUGCUGCUAUUCAAUGCAAGGUCGGUGAUAAAUAAAGCUCUCCUCAUCCGGGAUUUGAUCCUGGAUGAGGAGGCCGACCUGGCUUGUGUGACUGAAACCUGGCUGGGCCCGGAGGGAGGAGUUCCUCUCUUGGAAAUCUGCCCAGCCGGGUUCCAGGUAUGGCAUCAGCCUCGACCCCAGGGAAGGGGGGGAGGAGUGACUAUUAUAGCCAGAGAGUCACUUUGCCUACGCAGACUUGUUGCUCCUGAGAUUGCGGGUUGUGAGUCCCUCCUGGUGAAGAUGGACUUAGGGGUUCAGGUGAGCUUAUUACUCAUGUACCUGCCUCCCAGCUGCGUGUCAACAGCCCUGCCUGUGCUGCUCGAGGAGGUAGCUGGGUUGGCCAUGGAGCUUCCUGGGCUUAUUGUCCUGGGAGACUUCAACCUGCCGUCACUCGGCGGAUCCUCUGGGUUAGCACAGGAGUUCAUGGCCACCAUGACAGCCAUGGACCUGACUCAAGUAGUUCAGGGUCCGACUCAUGAGGGGGGGGCACACACCCGACAUGAUAUUUCUCUCGGAGCAACUGAGCAAUGGUUUGNGACUAAGGGGCUUAGAUGUUUUGCCUUUGUCAUGGUCAGACCAUUUUCUGCUACGGCUCGACUUUAUGGCUCCAAUCCUUCCCCGCAGGGAGGCGGAACCGAUUAGGUGGUUCCGCCCCAGACACCUGAUGGACCCAGAGGGCUUUCAGAGGGCGCUUGGGGUUCUACCAGACUCACUCGUCCACAGCUCGGCAGAGUCUCUUGCCGUGGCCUGG